rnacentral:rRNA from 1 species
GUUAUGGCUCAGGAUGAACGCUAGCUACAGGCUUAACACAUGCAAGUCGAGGGGCAGCAUGAUCGAAGCUUGCUUGAUUGAUGGCGACCGGCGCACGGGUGAGUAACGCGUAUCCAACCUUCCCUAUACUAGAGGAUAGCCCGGCGAAAGUCGGAUUAAUACUCUAUGUUAUUCAAUGCGGACAUCUAAGUUGAAUCAAAGAUUUAUCGGUAUAGGAUGGGGGAUGCGUCUGAUUAGGUUGUUGGCGGGGUAACGGCCCACCAAGCCCGCGAUCAGUAGGGUUCUGAGAGGAAGGUCCCCCACAUUGGAACUGAGACACGGUCCAAACUCCUACGGGAGGCAGCAGUGAGGAAUAUUGGUCAAUGGACGAGAGUCUGAACCAGCCAAGUAGCGUGCAGGAUGACGGCCCUAUGGGUUGUAAACUGCUUUUAUACAGGGAUAAAGUGAGCCACGUGUGGCUUUUUGUAGGUACUGUAUGAAUAAGGACCGGCUAAUUCCGUGCCAGCCGCCGC